AGUGAACGCUGGCGGUAGGCCUAACACAUGCAAGUCGAACGGCAGCACAGUAAGAGCUUGCUCUUACGGGUGGCGAGUGGCGGACGGGUGAGGAAUACAUCGGAAUCUACUUUUUCGUGGGGGAUAACGUAGGGAAACUUACGCUAAUACCGCAUACGACCUACGGGUGAAAGCAGGGGAUCUUUGGACCUUGCGCGAUUGAAUGAGCCGAUGUCGGAUUAGCUAGUUGGCGGGGUAAAGGCCCACCAAGGCGACGAUCCGUAGCUGGUCUGAGAGGAUGAUAGGCCACACUGGAACUGGGACACGGUCCAGACUCCUACGGGAGGCAGCAGUGGGGAAUAUUGGACAAUGGGCGGAAGCCUGAUCCAGCCAUACCGAGUGGGUGAAGAAGGCGUUCGGGUUGUAAAGCCCUUUUGUUGGGAAAGAAAAGCAGCAGGUUAAUACCCCGCUGUUCUGACGGUACCCAAAGAAUAAGCACCGGCUAACUUCGUG
rnacentral:rRNA from 1 species